rnacentral:rRNA from 1 species
CGUGCUUAACACAUGCAAGUCGAACGAUGAAGGAGGAGCUUGCUCCUCCGGAUUAGUGGCGAACGGGUGAGUAACACGUGAGCAAUCUGCCCCUGACUCUGGGAUAAGCGCUGGAAACGGCGUCUAAUACCGGAUACGAGCCGACCAGGCAUCUGGAGCGGCUGGAAAGAACUUCGGUCAGGGAUGAGCUCGCGGCCUAUCAGCUAGUUGGUGAGGUAAUGGCUCACCAAGGCGACGACGGGUAGCCGGCCUGAGAGGGUGACCGGCCACACUGGGACUGAGACACGGCCCAGACUCCUACGGGAGGCAGCAGUGGGGAAUAUUGCACAAUGGGCGAAAGCCUGAUGCAGCAACGCCGCGUGAGGGACGACGGCCUUCGGGUUGUAAACCUCUUUUAGCAGGGAAGAAGCGAAAGUGACGGUACCUGCAGAAAAAGCACCGGCUAACUACGUGCCAGCAGCCGCGGUAAUACGUAGGGUGCGAGCGUUGUCCGGAAUUAUUGGGCGUAAAGAGCUCGUAGGCGGUUUGUCACGUCUGCUGUGAAAACCCGAGGCUCAACCUCGGGCCUGCAGUGGGUACGGGCAGACUAGAGUGUGGUAGGGGAGAUUGGAAUUCCUGGUGUAGCGGUGGAAUGCGCAGAUAUCAGGAGGAACACCGAUGGCGAAGGCAGAUCUCUGGGCCAUUACUGACGCUGAGGAGCGAAAGCGUGGGGAGCAAACAGGCUUAGAUACCCUGGUAGUCCACGCCGUAAACGUUGGGAACUAGAUGUG